rnacentral:miRNA from 1 species
AAUGUUUGUAGAAUAGUUUGUGUC